GACAGAGGUGCCGAGCGUUAGGCGGAAUCACUGGGCUUAAAGCGUGUGUAGGCGGGUGCCUAAGUACCUUGUGAAAUCCCCCCGGCUCAACCGGGGAAGUGGCGUGGAUACGACCGGGCUGGAGGGGGGUAGGGGGAGCCGGAACUUCCGGUGGAGCGGUGAAAUGCGUUGAGAUCGGAAGGAACGCCCGUGGCGAAAGCGAGGUCCUGGACGUCUACUGACGCUGAGACGCGAAAGCUAGGGGAGUAAACGGG
rnacentral:rRNA from 1 species